rnacentral:rRNA from 1 species
CAGCCGCCGCGGUAAUACCGGCGGCCCGAGUGGCGGUCACUAUUAUUGGGCUUAAAGCGUCCGUAGCCGGGUUGGGAAAUCCUCCGGGAAAUCUGGCCGCUUAACGGUCAGAAUGCCGGGGGAUACUCCCAGCCUAGGGAGCGGGAGAGGCCGAGGGGAUUCCCGGAGUAGGGGUGAAAUCCUAUAAUCCCGGGAGGACCACCUGUGGCGAAGGCGCUCGGCUGGAACGCGUCCGACGGUGAGGGACGAAGGCCAGGGGAGCAAACCGGAUUAGAUACCCGGGUAGUCCUGGCUGUAAACGAUGCGGACUUUGUGUCGGACAAGCUAUGAGCUUGUCCGGUGCCGGAGGGAAACCGUUAAGUCCGCCGCCUGGGGAGUACGGCCGCAAGGCUGAAACUUAAAGGAAUUGGCGGG